ensembl:lncRNA
GAUUGACAGAGCCUUGCUUGUGGCUAUUAAAGAGGAUUCGAGGAGCCACUCAGCGGAGUGUGAAAUUACACCUGUUCGCUGUUUGCACACACUCUCGUAUCUGCAUGAGCCUAAAAUCACCAUCAGAAUUGUAUUCAAAUACCUCCAUGAGGCAGCCAGUGACAUGUGAAGGUCAGAACCCGUGGGCCUGCAAUAUUGUAUUGGAGCAUGGCUCUAAUGGUGGCAAAGGGAAAGUGCAAUAUUGCAUCUUGGCUGUAGGAAAAUCAAUAUGGAUCUGCCGUGUGGGUUUAGGUAAGAAGAAAAAUUCUCAGACAUGCAUCCCAGUGAAAUAUUAUUUCUCCUCCCUCCUCUUUCUUUUUUCCUGUUAGAGUGAUCAUAAAAUUGUGUGCCCUCUUUACAGUAUCGAUCAGUCAAUAAAGGACUUCACUGACCAAAUGGUGAGUACAUUAUCAGGUCAAAAGUACACCUUAGUAGAAAUAAAAGCUUUAAGUUUAUAUGCCAUUUUGGAAGUCCAGAUCAGGGACAUACUGUAUUCUAUAACUUCCCAUAUGAUACAUGCAGAAGGACUAAGCAUUAAAAGCCUCCUGGCAUAGGAUGUAAAUCAUCAAAAUAAAUAAAAAUAAAAAUCUAUUUUAAGUGUUCAUCUUUGACUUGCCAUCA